CCCUCCGACGAAAGAAGCAGGACAAUCGAAUUUUUCCAUUGACUUUUUGUCGACCCCAAAUUUUGACCUUUAAGUACUUUUUCGGGCAUUUUCGUGAUUUGGGGUAUAUUACGGACCCAAAAUUACUUGUUCAAGCAUUGUUUUCGAAUUUUUUCAUGCAUCAAAGCUCGUUAAGACUAGAUGUGUAUCCCUACAUAGCGGGUGGACCCACGGCGAAUGGUUCAUCAAGUCUUCAAAAAAGAAUAUAUACGAUUGCAUUGCAUAUACUAACGGAUGCGAUCAUGCCAGCACUAAUGCACCGGAUCCCAUCAGAACUCCGCAGUCAAGCGUGCUUGGGCGAGAGUAGUACUAGGAUGGGUGACCUCCCGGGAAGUCCUCGUGUUGCAUCCCUCUUUUAUGUUUAACCUUUUUUUUUUUGGUUAAAACUUUUUACUCCAU
rnacentral:rRNA from 1 species